rnacentral:rRNA from 1 species
AUUGAACGCUGGCGGCAGGCCUAACACAUGCAAGUCGAGCGGAGCGGCGGACGGGUGAGUAAUUCCUAGGAAUCUGCCUGGUAGUGGGGGAUAACGUCCGUAAACGGGCGCUAAUCCCGCAUACUAUCCGAUGAGCCUAGGUCGAAUUAGCUAGUUGGUGGGGUAAAGGCUUACCAAGGCGACGAUCCGUACCUGGUCUGAGAGGAUGAUCAGUCACACUGGAACUGAGACACGGUCCAGACUCCUACGGGAGGCAGCAGUGGGGAAUAUUGGACAAUGGGCGAAAGCCUGAUCCAGCCAUGCCGCGUGUGUGAAGAAGGUCUUCGGGUUGUAAAGCACUUUAAGUUGGGAGGCGUUACCAGCAGAAGAAGCACCGGCUAACUUCGUGCCAGCCGCCGCGGUAAUAC